UGCCCAGACUCCUACGGGAGGCAGCAGUGGGGAAUAUUGCACAAUGGGGGGAACCCUGAUGCAGCGACGCCGCGUGGGUGAAGGAGCACCUCGGUGCGUAAAGCCCUAUCGGCAGGGAAGAAAAGCGAACAGGUUCGCCUGGACGGUACCUGACUAAGAAGCCCCGGCUAACUACGUGCCAGCAGCCGCGGUAAUACGUAGGGGGCAAGCGUUAUCCGGGUUCACUGGGUGUAAAGGGAGCGUAGACGGCGACGCAAGCAUGGAGGGAAAGCCCGGGGCCCAACCCCGGGACUGCCCUUGGAACUGUGCGGCUAGAGUGCGGGAGGGGCAGGCGGAAUUCCUGGUGUAGCGGUGAAAUGCGUAGAUAUUAGGAGGAACACCAGUGGCGAAGGCGGCUUACUGGACUGUAACUGACGUUGAGGCUCGAAAGCGUGGGGAGCAAACAGGAUUAGAUACCCGGGUAACA
rnacentral:rRNA from 1 species